GCCUGAGUGGCUCAGUCGGUUAAGCAUCUGCCUUCAGCUCAGGUCACGAUCCUGGGGUCCUGGGAUCAAGUCCCACCUCAGACU
rnacentral:tRNA from 1 species